GAUGAACGCUGGCGGCGUGCUUAACACAUGCAAGUCGAACGGAAAGGCCCAAGCUUGCUUGGGUCCUCGAGUGGCGAACGGGUGAGUAACACGUGGGUGGUCUGCCCUGCACUUCGGGAUAAGCCUGGGAAACUGGGUCUAAUACCGGAUAGGACCACAUUUUGGAUGGUGUGGUGGAAAGUUUUUCGGUUUGGGAUGAGCGCGCGGCCUAUCAGCUUGUUGGUGGGGUAAUGGCCUACCAAGGCGUCGACGGGGAGCCGGCCUGAGAGGGUGUACGGCCACAUUGGGACUGAGAUACGGCCCAGACUCCUGCGAGAGGCAGCAGUGGGGAAUAUUGCACAAUGGGCGCAAGCCUGAUGUAGCGACGCCGCGUGGGGUAUGACGGCCUUCGGGUUGUAAACUCCUUUCGCUAGGGACGAAGCGUUUUUGUGACGGUACCUGGAGAAGAAGCACCGGCUAACUACGUG
rnacentral:rRNA from 1 species